ACACCCCCAACAGCUAGCCCCCCACCCAAAAACAACAAACACCAUUAAUAAACCCGCAUAUAUAAUACAGCAAACAACAAACCAUUUUUCCUCCCUAGUAUGG
rnacentral:rRNA from 1 species